UACGUAGGGAGCAAGCGUUAUCCGGAUUUAUUGGGUGUAAAGAGUGCGUAGACGGAAGAACAAGUUGUUUGUGAAAUCCCUUGGCUCAACUGAGGAACUGCAAGCAAAACUAUUCUCCUUGAGUACUAGAGAGGAAAGUGGAAUUCCUAGUGUAGCGGUGAAAUGCGUAGAUAUUAGGAGGAACACCAGUGGCGAAGGCGACUUUCUGGCUAGAAACUGACGUUGAGGCACGAAAGCGUGGGGAGCAAAC
rnacentral:rRNA from 1 species